GCUUUUCUCCUAAUAGAUGUAUUUUGCAAGUCAGGAAGCGGUCACUGCCUGAAGCUACCUAAAAUCCACAUCAUCUUCAGGUAUGGACCCGCCUCGUCUCACAGAAACAUACCAUAGAAGCCCACCUGAACCCUCCCCUUUUUCCAACCUUAUAAGUUUCAAACCAGAAACAGCCUCUAGCCAAGUGCACAGACAGGAAUGAACACUGACAUUGCACCCCCCCCCCUUUAAGAAGUGCAGGGGGAGGGCUACUGUGUUCUACAAUCCUAUGUCCAGCUUAUCACAAGCUGAAAUUCCACACAAGGACACAGAGAAAGCCAACCACACAUCCAUCUGUCAUCGACCUGCUGUGUGAACGAGUUACAGGCAUUCGAGUGGAGCUGUUUAAUUUCAUAAGGAUGAUCUCUAGAAACAGAAGGAUUCCGAAGAAAUACCUAGAUGGAGAAAAUAUAUAGAGUGGCAGUGCGGUAAAAGAAGAAAAUCAGGCAAAGAAGAUUAGAAAAGUGACAGAGGAAGAAGUACAGCUGUAGCAACAGGGAGUACCUGAAUCUUACACUACGGGAGGCCAAGCAGUGCAAUCCACUGGCAUGCAGGUUUAAUUGUUUGCCGCAACAAAGAUCACACAUCAAAUCGAGCGAUCAGAACAACAUGGAUAGGGACAAGAGCUGUGGUUAUUCUGCCAUACCAUAUAAGACGACCUGUAUUUCUCAC